rnacentral:rRNA from 1 species
GAAUUCGAUUCAGGCCUAACACAUGCAAGUCGAGCGAUGAAACACAAUAGGGUGCGGAUUAGCGGCGAACGGGUGAGGAACACGUGAGGAAUCUGCCUUUCACACUGGGAUAACUCCGGGAAACCGGGGCUAAUACCGGAUAUUUUCAACUGGCGGCAUCGCCGGUUGAAGAGAGUUUUUCGGUGAAAGAUGACCUCGCGGCCUAUCAGCUUGUUGGUGAGGUAAUGGCUCACCAAGGCAACGACGGGUAGCCGGCCUGAGAGGGCGACGGGCCACACUGGGACUGAGACACGGCCCAGACUCCUACGGGAGGCAGCAGUGGGGAAUAUG